GGGUUGUGAGGUUAAGCGACUAAGCGUACACGGUGGAUGCCCUGGCAGUCAGAGGCGAUGAAGGACGUGCUAAUCUGCGAAAAGCGUCGGUAAGGUGAUAUGAACCGUUAUAGCCGGCGAUGUCCGAAUGGGGAAACCCAGUGCAAUUCGUUGCACUAUCGUUUGAUGAAUACAUAGUCAAACGAGGCGAACCGGGGGAACUGAAACAUCUAAGUACCCCGAGGAAAAGAAAUCAACCGAGAUUCCCCCAGUAGCGGCGAGCGAACGGGGAGCAGCCCGGAGUCUGAAUCAGCUUGUGUGUUAGUGGAAGCGUCUGGAAAGUCGCAGGGUACAGGGUGAUACUCCCGUACACUAAAACACACAGGUUGUGAACUCGAAGAGUAGGGCGGGACACGUGGUAUCCUGUCUGAAUAUGGGGGGACCAUCCUCCAAGGCUAAAUACUCCUGACUGACCGAUAGUGAACCAGUACCGUGAGGGAAAGGCGAAAAGAACCCCGGCGAGGGGAGUGAAAAAGAACCUGAAACCGUGUACGUACAAGCAGUAGGAGCCUCUUUAUGGGGUGACUGCGUACCUUUUGUAUAAUGGGUCAGCGACUUAUAUUCUGUAGCAAGGUUAACCGUAUAGGGGAGCCGCAGGGAAACCGAGUCUUAACUGGGCGUUAAGUUGCAGGGUAUAGACCCGAAACCCGGUGAUCUAGCCAUGGGCAGGUUGAAGGUUGGGUAACACUAACUGGAGGACCGAACCGACUAAUGUUGAAAAAUUAGCGGAUGACUUGUGGCUGGGGGUGAAAGGCCAAUCAAACCGGGAGAUAGCUGGUUCUCCCCGAAAGCUAUUUAGGUAGCGCCUCGUGAACUCAUCUUCGGGGGUAGAGCACUGUUUCGGCUAGGGGGUCAUCCCGACUUACCAACCCGAUGCAAACUACGAAUACCGAAGAAUGUUAUCACGGGAGACACACGGCGGGUGCUAACGUCCGUCGUGAAGAGGGAAACAACCCAGACCGCCAGCUAAGGUCCCAAAGUCAUGGUUAAGUGGGAAACGAUGUGGGAAGGCCCAGACAGCCAGGAUGUUGGCUUAGAAGCAGCCAUCAUUUAAAGAAAGCGUAAUAGCUCACUGGUCGAGUCGGCCUGCGCGGAAGAUGUAACGGGGCUAAACCAUGCACCGAAGCUGCGGCAGCGACACUAUGUGUUGUUGGGUAGGGGAGCGUUCUGUAAGCCGUUGAAGGUGGCCUGUGAGGGUUGCUGGAGGUAUCAGAAGUGCGAAUGCUGACAUAAGUAACGAUAAUGCGGGUGAAAAACCCGCACGCCGGAAGACCAAGGGUUCCUGUCCAACGUUAAUCGGGGCAGGGUGAGUCGACCCCUAAGGCGAGGCCGAAAGGCGUAGUCGAUGGGAAACAGGUUAAUAUUCCUGUACUCGGUGUUACUGCGAAGGGGGGACGGAGAAGGCUAUGUUGGCCGGGCGACGGUUGUCCCGGUUUAAGCAUGUAGGCGGAUGUUCCAGGUAAAUCCGGAACGUUACUAACGCUGAGGUGUGAUGACGAGGCACUACGGUGCUGAAGUGACAAAUGCCCUGCUUCCAGGAAAAGCCUCUAAGCAUCAGGUAACAUCAAAUCGUACCCCAAACCGACACAGGUGGUCAGGUAGAGAAUACCAAGGCGCUUGAGAGAACUCGGGUGAAGGAACUAGGCAAAAUGGUGCCGUAACUUCGGGAGAAGGCACGCUGAUAUGUAGGUGAAGUGGUUUACCCAUGGAGCUGAAAUCAGUCGAAGAUACCAGCUGGCUGCAACUGUUUAUUAAAAACACAGCACUGUGCAAACACGAAAGUGGACGUAUACGGUGUGACGCCUGCCCGGUGCCGGAAGGUUAAUUGAUGGGGUUAUCCGUAAGGAGAAGCUCUUGAUCGAAGCCCCGGUAAACGGCGGCCGUAACUAUAACGGUCCUAAGGUAGCGAAAUUCCUUGUCGGGUAAGUUCCGACCUGCACGAAUGGCGUAAUGAUGGCCAGGCUGUCUCCACCCGAGACUCAGUGAAAUUGAACUCGCUGUGAAGAUGCAGUGUACCCGCGGCAAGACGGAAAGACCCCGUGAACCUUUACUAUAGCUUGACACUGAACACUGGUCCUUGAUGUGUAGGAUAGGUGGGAGGCUUUGAAGUGUGGACGCCAGUCUGCAUGGAGCCAUCCUUGAAAUACCACCCUUUAAUGGCUGGUGUUCUAACGUGGGCCCGUUAUCCGGGUUGCGGACAGUGUCUGGUGGGUAGUUUGACUGGGGCGGUCUCCUCCUAAAGAGUAACGGAGGAGCACGAAGGUCAGCUAAUCCUGGUCGGACAUCAGGAGGUUAGUGCAAUGGCAUAAGCUGGCUUGACUGCGAGCGUGACGGCGCGAGCAGGUGCGAAAGCAGGUCAUAGUGAUCCGGUGGUUCUGAAUGGAAGGGCCAUCGCUCAACGGAUAAAAGGUACUCCGGGGAUAACAGGCUGAUACCGCCCAAGAGUUCAUAUCGACGGCGGUGUUUGGCACCUCGAUGUCGGCUCAUCACAUCCUGGGGCUGAAGUAGGUCCCAAGGGUAUGGCUGUUCGCCAUUUAAAGUGGUACGCGAGCUGGGUUUAGAACGUCGUGAGACAGUUCGGUCCCUAUCUGCCGUGGGCGCUGGAGAAUUGAGGGGGGCUGCUCCUAGUACGAGAGGACCGGAGUGGACGCAUCACUGGUGUUCGGGUUGUCAUGCCAAUGGCAUUGCCCGGUAGCUAAAUGCGGAAGAGAUAAGUGCUGAAAGCAUCUAAGCACGAAACUUGCCCCGAGAUGAGUUCUCCCUGACUCCUUGAGAGUCCUGAAGGAACGUUGAAGACGACGACGUUGAUAGGCCGGGUGUGUAAGCGCAGCGAUGCGUUGAGCUAACCGGUACUAAUGAACCGUGAGGCUUAACCUUACAACGCCGAAG
rnacentral:rRNA from 1 species